CGUUGCUAAGCAGCGAACGUGUCGAGGAGGACAGAAGAAGAACUGCACCGAAGAAGGUCUUUCCAGGCAGCUCAACCCAAGCAGUCAAUACAGCGUUUUACCUACCGUUCCCUGCAUCAGAUGAACAGCUGGCUGACAGCUUUAGGCGAUAUCUCGUGACCCUGGUGACCUUCUGGAUCUCAGGGUUGGAUGUGGAAUGACCCCCAGAGUGAGGCAGAGAGGCUACAGAGGGACGUGAUGCUGCCAACGGUCUCUCUGUGUAGCAGCCAAGACCGAUGAAGGAGUCACGAAAUCCAGUUGACAUGAACCUGAUUCACAGGGCCGACUGAAAUCUGACACGCACAACUGGAAUUUAUUGGAUAUUUGCAGCGGUGGAAAUGAACAAGAACCCAAGUGCUGUACAUAAAGUAAACGCUGAAGUACUUUACACUCACACUGUGUUUCAUGGGGACAAAUAAAGCACUUUUCUUUCUUUCUUUAACCUGUAAAGUUACUAGCAAAACAACAAAGCAUAUAAUCUUCUUAUAAAAUAUCCUUAGUUAUAUAAUAAAAUGUCCAACAGUAUGUAAAGUAAGUAAAAUUAACUCCAACUAAGUCAAUUACAACAUGCUGCUUGCAAAAAAAUAAUGUAUAAAGAUAAUAUACUCUUGUUUUUGAUGGUUUAAUUAAAUUUUGCUGGUUAAACUUUGUUUUUUUAAACUUUAUUUUUCACCCUUGUGUUGUCCUGCAGGUCACAUUGACCCAUUUUCAAGUUUGAAAAUGUGGAAAAAGUAUAUCUUCACAGUGAAACUUCUUGAUGUCCACAUUUUCAACAUUUUUGGGAGGGUUUUGAACAUUAGUUGGUGGGAAAAAAAAUGUUAAAAAAAUGUUUCUUUAAGAACAUUCACAAAAAAUCUACCAAAAUCCAGGGAAUUUUGCUGGAUUAUGCAGAAGAAUAGGUUUUGGCAUCAUAUAUUAGAUUACUGGAUUGUGUUUUAUUAUUAUGAUUAUUAUUAUUGGGUUGUUGCCACUGAUGCAUAAUGGCAUAGAAAGGAUUAUAAUAUUGUCGGUUGAGGUUAAUUCGAUCUACUUUAUGUUCUAAUAACAUAAGAAUGUGUUGUAAACUGAUAAUGAAGGUGUGUGUUGUCUAAAUCUAGAAAGUAGCUAACCAUAGAUAUCAGACAGGUAUUGGAGCAAAACUUUUCCUCUGAAAUAUGAAUGUCUAAAAAUGUGUAAAAAUUACAGAGAAGACAUUAACUGCAGAUUGUAAAUUUGUAAAUCUAUAAGUUUUAAAUAAUUUCCAGACCAUGACAAGUUGUUUUGAUCAUAAAGUAAAAUAUUGCUCAUUGUUCUUUUGUCAUUUUGUGUCUCAUUUUUGUAAUAUUUUGUCUUUUUUCAUCAAACUUUUGUCAUUUGUCUCGUUUUUUUGUCGUUUUGUUUCUCGUUUUUGUCAUUUUGUGUUUCCAUUUUGUCUCCCUUGUGCUUUUUGUCUUAUUUUUGUCAUUUUGUGUUUUGCUUUAUUUGUUUUGUGUAUGGUUUUUGUCGUUUUGUG